CCAGACCAAAAAAAAACGCAAACUCAGAUUCAUAGAUCUCAUCAUGUGAUAUCCCAAUUCAGUUUGCAAGUUGGAACUUGAAAAGCCCUAGAUUAUGAAAACCAGUCAAACCAUUCAGCAUUCACCAAACACGGUGCCGUUUAAUUCAUUUUCUCUCUAAAUGCUCUAGCAUUUCCUUUCCCCGGCUGUAAACGACGCCCCCGUUGCAAGUUUUGCUAUAUAUUCCUCCGCCAGGACUUCCAUCAAAUCAGGUUUUAUGGAUUCUUAUACUUGUACCCAUGAAAUGGGGAAAAGCCAUGACUCAUCCCAAAAGUCCACGCAAAGUUUGGAUGAAACUUGUAGUGAAGAAGCUGAUAAGGCAAAAAUUGAGCUAUCUCUUGGGCCUAUCACUCCUGAUGCAAACAAAGAAAAUGGGGAUUUUCUCUUGGAUCUUAGUUCUCCAUUCACUAUGGUGACAAAACUGCCUAAAGUACUUACCUUUGAUUCUAAAACCAACAGAAAUCAGGAUCAAUUCCCCAAUGUUCACAAUUCUAGCAGCCCCAAAACACCUAAAGAUGGUGUUUUUGACCCAUUUGCUCCCAGUCAAGAUGACAAAGUCUUCGCUCCCCAGUCUAAGAAAUACUUUGAUGAAGCAAGGAUCAGUGUUGCACGAAGACUCAACUUUGGAACUUUCCUCAAGGGUUUGGGCCAUACAAGUCCUGGUGAUGGAGUGGAGUCCAUUUUAGAUGAGGAGAUGUUCAAAUCAGUCUAUGAAAAUCUCUUGGAGGCUAUUAUUUGUGAGCAAACAGAAAGUGCUUUUGCUGAACUAUCAAAUAUGGAAUGGGAUUCUGAUGCUUGCAGAACACCUCCCUCAGCUCCUCGACUAAAUCAAGUUGCUGAAACUUGCCCAGGUGCUCCGUUGAAACCAACUGGUAAAUCAAGGCUUAUUGAUUUGGGAUUAUGCAGAAAGAUUGAAUUCUGAUGGUGGGCCUUACCUGUGAUGUUGAAAAUGUGACACUACCCUGCCAACUAGUUUUGCAAGCGUGCAUUAUGUAUUAGUUAAAGCUCUAACUUUUGUGACUCUCGAGUUUAACUUGUGUGCCUUAGAGAUCUAAUUUAGACAGGGGAAAUUGCUGUCUGACCAAGAUUACAGUGUACUAGUAGCAUUG
rnacentral:misc_RNA from 1 species